AUUGAACGCUGGCGGCAGGCCUAACACAUGCAAGUCGAGCGAGCGGCGGACGGGUGAGUAAUGUCUGGGAAACUGCCUGAUGGACGGGGAUAACUCCUGGAAACGGUCGCUAAUACCGCAUACCAUCAGAUGUGCCCAGAUGGGAUUAGCUAGUAGGUGGGGUAACGGCUCACCUAGGCGACGAUCCCUAGCUGGUCUGAGAGGAUGACCAGGAACAAGGGAACUGAGACACGGUGCAGACGGCUACGGGAGGCAGCAGGGGGGAAUAUUGGACAAUGGGCGCAAGCCUGAUGCAGAAAUGCCGCGUGUAUGAAGAAGGACUGCGGGUUGUAAAGUACUUUCAGCGGGGAGGCGUUACCGGAAGAAGAAGCACCGGCUAACUCCGUGCCAGCAGCCGCGGUAAUAC
rnacentral:rRNA from 1 species